UGGCGGCGGCCUAACACAUGCAAGUCGUACGAGAAGGUUCCUUCGGGAACUGGAGAGUGGCGCACGGGUGAGUAACGCGUGGGGACCUACCUCUUAGUGGGGGAUAACGGUUGGAAACGACCGCUAAUACCGCAUACGCCCUUCGGGGGAAAGAUUUAUCGCUAAGAGAUGGACCCGCGUUGGAUUAGAUAGUUGGUGAGGUAACGGCUCACCAAGUCAGCGAUCCAUAGCUGGUUUGAGAGGAUGAUCAGCCACACUGGGACUGAGACACGGCCCAGACUCCUACGGGAGGCAGCAGUGGGGAAUAUUGGACAAUGGGCGCAAGCCUGAUCCAGCCAUGCCGCGUGAGUGAAGAAGGCCUUCGGGUUGUAAAGCUCUUUCAGAUGCGAAGAUGAUGACGGUAACAUCAGAAGAAGCCCCGGCUAAUUUCGUGCCAGCAGCCGCGGUAAUACGAAAGGGGCAAGCGUUGUUCGGAUUUACUGGGCGUAAAGGGCACGCAGGCGGUCUUGCCAGUCAGGGGUGAAAGCCCGGGGCUCAACCCCGGAACUGCCUCUGAUACUGCAGGACUAGAGACUAGGAGAGGGUGGUGGAAUUCCCAGUGUAGAGGUGAAAUUCGUAGAUAUUGGGAGGAACACCAGAGGCGAAGGCGGCCACCUG
rnacentral:rRNA from 1 species